UACGGAGGGGGCUAGCGUUGUUCGGAAUUACUGGGCGUAAAGCGCACGUAGGCGGCUUUGUAAGUUAGAGGUGAAAGCCCAGGGCUUAACCCUGGAAUUGCCUUUAAGACUGCAUCGCUCGAAUUGUGGAGAGGUGAGUGGAAUUCCGAGUGUAGAGGUGAAAUCGUAGAUAUUCGGAAGAACACCAGUGGCGAAGGCGACUCACUGGACACAUAUUGACGGCUGAGGAGCGAAAGCAUGGGGAGCGAACAGG
rnacentral:rRNA from 1 species